rnacentral:rRNA from 1 species
GAAAGCAUUUGCCAAGGACGUUUUCAUUAAUCAAGAACGAAAGUUAGGGGAUCGAAGAUGAUCAGAUACCGUCGUAGUCUUAACCAUAAACUAUGCCGACUAGGGAUCGGGUGUUGUCCUUUUUUUGGCGCACUCGGCACCUUACGAGAAAUCAAAGUUUUUGGGUUCUGGGGGGAGUAUGGUCGCAAGGCUGAAACUUAAAGGAAUUGACGGAAGGGCACCACCAGGAGUGGAGCCUGCGGCUUAAUUUGACUCAACACGGGGAAACUCACCAGGUCCAGACACAAUAAGGAUUGACAGAUUGAGAGCUCUUUCUUGAUUUUGUGGGUGGUGGUGCAUGGCCGUUCUUAGUUGGUGGAGUGAUUUGUCUGCUUAAUUGCGAUAACGAACGAGACCUUAACCUACUAAAUAGUGCUGCUAGCUUUUGCUGGUAUAGUCACUUCUUAGAGGGACUACCGAUUUCAAGUCGGUGGAAGUUUGAGGCAAUAACAGGUCUGUGAUGCCCUUAAACGUUCUGGGCCGCACGCGCGCUACACUGACGGAGCCAGCGAGUAUUAACCUUGGCCGAGAGGUCUGGGAAAUCUUGUGAAACUCCGUCGUGCUGGGGAUAGAGCAUUG